CUCGUAGGCGGCUUGUCGCGUCUGCUGUGAAAACCCGGAGCUCAACUCCGGGCCUGCAGUGGGUACGGGCAGGCUAGAGUGCGGUAGGGGAGAUUGGAAUUCCUGGUGUAGCGGUGGAAUGCGCAGAUAUCAGGAGGAACACCGAUGGCGAAGGCAGAUCUCUGGGCCGCUACUGACGCUGAGGAGCGAAAGCAUGGGAGCGAACA
rnacentral:rRNA from 1 species